rnacentral:rRNA from 1 species
GAUGAACGCUGGCGGCGUGCCUAAUACAUGCAAGUCGAGCGAACAGACGAGGAGCUUGCUCCUCUGACGUUAGCGGCGGACGGGUGAGUAACACGUGGAUAACCUACCUAUAAGACUGGGAUAACUUCGGGAAACCGGAGCUAAUACCGGAUAAUAUAUUGAACCGCAUGGUUCAAUAGUGAAAGACGGUUUUGCUGUCACUUAUAGAUGGAUCCGCGCCGCAUUAGCUAGUUGGUAAGGUAACGGCUUACCAAGGCAACGAUGCGUAGCCGACCUGAGAGGGUGAUCGGCCACACCGGAACUGAGACACGGUCCAGACUCCUACGGGAGGCAGCAGUAGGGAAUCUUCCGCAAUGGGCGAAAGCCUGACGGAGCAACGCCGCGUGAGUGAUGAAGGUCCUCGGAUCGUAAAACUCUGUUAUUAGGGAAGAACAAAUGUGUAAGUAACUAUGCACGUCUUGACGGUACCUAAUCAGAAAGCCACGGCUAACUACGUG